GCCGUUGGAUUGGCCCGCCAAGUGGCCUAUGGGAUAGAGUGACUUGGCCUGUAAGCAGAGUCUGAACCUGAGCGGCGAUGGUUCGAUUCCCAUGCCUGCCAUCUGCAUACGCUCUGUACUCUUCUCAGUACACCUUCAGCCAGCUUAAUCUGGCAAGUCUGUAGAGCUCCAGACUUGCCAGCCUAACCUGGCGAGUCUGUAGAGCUCCAGACUCACUCUGCCUUUUUAACCUUUUCUUCAAAUCCCUCCUUAACUUUUGCCUGGAAACAGGGCAAUUUUUCACACACAACAUGGCUUCAAUCUCUCAACAAACGCUCCCAACUCACUCAAUUUCCGCUCCAUCCACACAAUUUACACAUCAAAACAUAGCGAUUUUCCUCACUGUCAUUAGUUCGUUUUCCUUAGUAGAUAGUUUUCCAGUUACACAAGGUUUUGUAACACCUCAGCUUUUUUGCCUCUUUUCAGCAGUCCAUUUGCAGCUACACCAGUCACUACUUUACAUCCUUUCUUUUUUUGGUGGAUAUACCAGUGCUUACAGCCAAAAUAUCCCGCUUGUCGGAGCUGCACGUUGCACUUUUGGAGCCAUCACUUCAGGCUCCCGUACAGUUUUUAGGUAGGCAGACCGAUCCAGUUUAUCUGCUAAUGGGUUUACCUCGACUGACUACUCGGUCAAUUAAGAGUCCACAUUAAUAUCAACAGCUACAUCCACCCCGGGGAAACUGGUGAGGGAGAACAUCAGGACCAAGCUGGGUUUCCUUGGUCCAGAGGUCUGGAGAAACUUCUUCCCUUUCUUUCAUCACAGCUGUCUUGUGCCAGAUGUUCUAUUGACCCACUGAAAGAGGCUUAAUUUUAGAAACAUCAGGAAGACUGAAGCUCAUCGCAGGAAUCAAGGAGGACCUCGAGAUCUUCACCACCAGCUCCCUCACAAGGAAAUCUUCCGAAGUCCACUGUAGGCACGGCCCAGAAGAUGGAUAAACCCAGCAUUUCAUGAACACACUGGAACCAAUCUAUCUUCAUAACAUGUCAAAUGUCAAACAGCUGGAAAGGAAACUACACCAGUGCACUGGGAUGUUUCCCCAACUCGUGCCAGACGCUGUUCCUGCCUGUGAAGGUAACAUCAGCAGAGACAGCCCGCCUACCUCAGGACCUCGCCAAGUCACGUAUUGAUCACGAUGGUUAUGAAGAUGACAGCGAGCGGAAGACUGUAAAAAUCCACCACCAGAAUGUUUAGAUGCUUUCUAAUUAUUAAUGAAUAUCGUGUUUGUGUGUUUUGGGUUUUGUUUUUUUGGCCUCAUUUGUUACUAACAAAGGUCACCAAGCUCAGUUUACAUUCUGUAUGUGUUUUCAUCUUUAGCAGCCACACUCUGACUGCAAUUAAGAAAAACACAAACUUUUAAAUAUUGAAGGGGUUCAGGUAGAGCCGGCUUAUGAAUUACUAUGAACACUUACCAUACUGUACCUGUACAACAUGUUUUUGUAUGAGACAGAUUUGUAACAGAGGCCUUAGUCUCAGUAAGUUUGAAGUCCUUUCCUGAUUUAUUUUGCAAUCUCUGCUCUUUCAUUGAUGAUAAUUCAGUGCUGCUUCCCUUUGUCCCCUCCUGCAUCACUUUGUUAAAUUUUUCAGUGUCCAGUUUUUUUUUUAUUUCUGUUUGAGUUCAUCGUGUGCUUGACCCUGCAGACUGUUUGAUGGGCUCCUUGUCUUGUAACCGCUGCCUGUUUUUGACCAAAGAUUUGGACUUUUGACUUUAAUUCAGCCUCUGCAUGUCCUCCCUUUGUGUCCUCUGUGAAUGUGUUCCAUGUGUCACAAAUGUUUUCAUUUUAAUAACACAGCUUUCCCACAGUGGGUUGCAGCAGCAUUUGUUCACAGCACAUUCGAGAAAGUUGAUUCAGAUGACUACAGUGAUAUUAAAGUCAGAUUUAUCCUGA